rnacentral:rRNA from 2 species
CGAGUUCUGAUUAUUGAAAGGUGCUUGCAUCUUGAUUUAAUUUUGAACGAGUGGCGGACGGGUGAGUAACACGUGGGUAACCUGCCCUUAAGUGGGGGAUAACAUUUGGAAACAGAUGCUAAUACCGCAUAAAUCCAAGAACCGCAUGGUUCUUGGCUGAAAGAUGGCGUAAGCUAUCGCUUUUGGAUGGACCCGCGGCGUAUUAGCUAGUUGGUGAGGUAACGGCUCACCAAGGCAAUGAUACGUAGCCGAACUGAGAGGUUGAUCGGCCACAUUGGGACUGAGACACGGCCCAAACUCCUACGGGAGGCAGCAGUAGGGAAUCUUCCACAAUGGACGCAAGUCUGAUGGAGCAACGCCGCGUGAGUGAAGAAGGCUUUCGGGUCGUAAAACUCUGUUGUUGGAGAAGAAUGGUCGGCAGAGUAACUGUUGUCGGCGUGACGGUAUCCAACCAGAAAGCCACGGCUAACUACGUGCCAGCAGCCGCGGUAAUACGUAGGUGGCAAGCGUUAUCCGGAUUUAUUGGGCGUAAAGCGAGCGCAGGCGGUUUUUUAAGUCUGAUGUGAAAGCCCUCGGCUUAACCGAGGAAGUGCAUCGGAAACUGGGAAACUUGAGUGCAGAAGAGGACAGUGGAACUCCAUGUGUAGCGGUGAAAUGCGUAGAUAUAUGGAAGAACACCAGUGGCGAAGGCGGCUGUCUGGUCUGUAACUGACGCUGAGGCUCGAAAGCAUGGGUAGCGAACAGGAUUAGAUACCCUGGUAGUCCAUGCCGUAAACGAUGAAUGCUAGGUGUUGGAGGGUUUCCGCCCUUCAGUGCCGCAGCUAACGCAUUAAGCAUUCCGCCUGGGGGAGUACGACCGCAAGGUUGAAACUCAAAGGAAUUGACGGGGGCCCGCACAAGCGGUGGAGCAUGUGGUUUAAUUCGAAGCAACGCGAAGAACCUUACCAGGUCUUGACAUCUUUUGAUCACCUGAGAGAUCAGGUUUCCCCUUCGGGGGCAAAAUGACAGGUGGUGCAUGGUUGUCGUCAGCUCGUGUCGUGAGAUGUUGGGUUAAGUCCCGCAACGAGCGCAACCCUUAUGACUAGUUGCCAGCAUUUAGUUGGGCACUCUAGUAAGACUGCCGGUGACAAACCGGAGGAAGGUGGGGAUGACGUCAAAUCAUCAUGCCCCUUAUGACCUGGGCUACACACGUGCUACAAUGGAUGGUACAACGAGUUGCGAGACCGCGAGGUCAAGCUAAUCUCUUAAAGCCAUUCUCAGUUCGGACUGUAGGCUGCAACUCGCCUACACGAAGUCGGAAUCGCUAGUAAUCGCGGAUCAGCACGCCGCGGUGAAUACGUUCCCGGGCCUUGUACACACCGCCCGUCACACCAUGAGAGUUUGUAACACCCGAAGCCGGUGGCGUAACCCUUUUAGGGAGCGAGCCGGUCCUUAAAGUUGACCCCAAAAUUUU